rnacentral:rRNA from 1 species
UACGUAGGAUGCAAGCGUUGUCCGGAAUUAUUGGGCGUAAAGCGAACGUAGGCGGUUUCUUAAGAUUGGUCUUAAAGACCGGGGCUCAACCCCGGGAAUGGAUCGAUAACUGGGAGACUGGAGGACGUCAGAGGAAAGUGGAAUUCCUGGUGUAGCGGUGAAAUGCGCAGAUAUCAGGAAGAACACCCGUGGCGAAAGCGGCUCUCUGGAACGGUACUGACGCUGAGACGCGAAAGCGUGGGGAGCGAACAGG